AUUGAACGCUGGCGGCAUGCCUUACACAUGCAAGUCGAACGGCAGCACGGGGGCAACCCUGGUGGCGAGUGGCGAACGGGUGAGUAACACAUCGGAACGUGCCCAGUAGUGGGGGAUAGCCCGGCGAAAGCCGGAUUAAUACCGCAUACGACCUACGGAUGAAAGCGGGGGACCGCAAGGCCUCGCGCCAUUGGAGCGGCCGAUGUCAGAUUAGGUUGUUGGUGGGGUAAAGGCCUACCAAGCCGACGAUCUGUAGCUGGUCUGAGAGGACGACCAGCCACACUGGGACUGAGACACGGCCCAGACUCCUACGGGAGGCAGCAGUGGGGAAUUUUGGACAAUGGGCGCAAGCCUGAUCCAGCCAUGCCGCGUGCGGGAAGAAGGCCUUCGGGUUGUAAACCGCUUUUGUCAGGGAAGAAAUCUUCCGGGUUAAUACCUCGGGAGGAUGACGGUACCUGAAGAAUAAGCACCGGCUAACUACGUGCCAGCCGCCGCAGUAAAAC
rnacentral:rRNA from 1 species